GAUGAACGCUGGCGGCGUGCCUAAUACAUGCAAGUCGAGCGAACAGACGAGGAGCUUGCUCCUCUGACGUUAGCGGCGGACGGGUGAGUAACACGUGGAUAACCUACCUAUAAGACUGGGAUAACUUCGGGAAACCGGAGCUAAUACCGGAUAAUAUAUUGAACCGCAUGGUUCAAUAGUGAAAGACGGUUUUGCUGUCACUUAUAGAUGGAUCCGCGUCGCAUUAGCUAGUUGGUAAGGUAACGGCUUACCAAGGCAACGAUGCGUAGCCGACCUGAGAGGGUGAUCGGCCACACUGGAACUGAGACACGGUCCAGACUCUUACGGGAGGCAGCAGUAGGGAAUCUUCCGCAAUGGGCGAAAGCCUGACGGAGCAACGCCGCGUGAGUGAUGAAGGUCUUCGGAUCGUAAAACUCUGUUAUUAGGGAAGAACAAAUGUGUAAGUAACUAUGCACGUCUUGACGGUACCUAAUCAGAAAGCCACGGCUAACUACGUG
rnacentral:rRNA from 1 species